CCAAUGUGAUUUCGUCACAUAUUGAGUUAGCCUUAGAGCCAUAAAUUGUGGGUGACACCCCGACUAAUCAAGAUGAAAGACACAAAGCGGAUCAAUAGCUAACUUUGAGAAGUUUAUUGUGUCGAGUAGCGGUAGAUCAGUUGCCGAGCUGGUC
ncrna:Acinetobacter johnsonii CIP 64.6 Pseudomonadales-1 RNA